rnacentral:lncRNA from 1 species
AACCAGUCCAACGACAACCAUUUCAUCAAAUGGCAACCCAUCAACUGGCAGCGCAUCAUCAACCAACCCUGCAACUGGCAGCACAUCAUCAACCAACCCUGCAACUGGCAGCACAUCAUCAACCAACCCUGCAACUGGCAGCACAUCUUCAACCAACCCUGCAACUGGUAGCACAUCUACAAGGAACCCAGCAGAUAACGCCGCAGUAUCGCCAACAGCCUCGUUUGCCUUGUGGACUACCGUAGUCAUCUCGUCUGUGAUCACCCAGAUAUAGUCACAUGACAAGGAGCAAUGACGUCAAUGAGCGAGAUUCAAACAUGACAGUCUUGGUUCACGAAUAACAGCUUGUCAUCAACUGUCCGCUACGAGUUCGGUGAAACCUCGUGUCAUUAAAUAGAACAAAUCUCUACAUAACACAUAUUGAUUGUUCCAUUGAACAAAAUCUUUAAAAAAUCUAAAACUGUACACGUCAUUCGUGAACCAAGCUAAUGCAUAAUUGUGGAAGUGUUUGACUUGCUAUGACUUGACCGAUCCUCGUUAUAAAACAUUAUAUUACAAAGCUGAACCUUGUUAACACGGGCAGUCUAAAACCAUGAAAGAGUGAGUGAGUGAGUGAUUUUUACGCCGCUUUUAGCAAUAUUCCAGCAACAUCACGGCGGGGGACACCAGAUAUGGGCUUCACAUAUUGUACCCAUGUGGGAAUCGAACCCGGGUCUUCGGCGUGACGAGCGAACGCUUUAACCAUUAGACUACCCCACCGCCCAAACCAUGAAAGAUUAGCAAAUAAAGACUUUGUUAAUAAUUAAAAUGAUAAACAAACACGAAGUCACCAAUAUUUACAUUUUUCUCGUCUUAGUGUACAAAUGAACUUUGAAGCUCAUCCAUUUUUCUGCUAAGUCAUUCCGCAUAAUGGCAUGAAAAUGGCUCAACGCAGCCUCAGGUAGACCAGAUCUUUUACUUCAGUGCGAUAUCUCUCUGCUUGAACAUCACCACCAUAGUAGGUCGCCAGGUGAACCGAAAUAAGUUGUGAGUGAGUAUGGUCUUACAACGCUGUUAGGCAAUAUCAGUGUAUGAAAUAAGCCAAUAGUCCAGCCAGACAUCAGGGCCGGUAACUUCAAAAUGUUACCAGCCCAAAAUGGAUUUAACCAGACCAAAUAUGUUGAAUGGGCCUCACACAUUGUACACAUGUGAAGAAUCGAACCCGUGUGUUGGGUAUGACGAGCGAACGCUUAAUCAUUACGCUACCCGACCGCCCGAAAUGAAAGAUUCUCUGUUGUUUUUGGCCAAACAGAUGUCAGAUUUCUGAAACGAUUCGACUUCAUUUUUGUAUCCCCUACAGUCGAAACAUUUUCAUAUAAUAACUGAAAUCCACACAGAACAUAUAUUCCUUCGAUGGCGCACUCGUUUGGUUGUCGAUUUUUUAUGGGGCUCAGAAACGACCAGCUCGAUGACAUAAAAUAAUAUAGUGACGUAUAGAUGUUAUCUCCCUUUCUUGACCAGCUUGUGUCAUUCCGUUAUAAGAGAAGUGUUAUAUCACUCCCCAAUUAUACUCGUAUUUCAGCUUCAUUAAAUGUGCUUGUCUGAAUGCUUCGUCAACUGUUACCGAGAAUUUUCAAACAUUGGCUCGGAUUAACUGAUAAGGAACGUAUGGAGUAACGAAGUGAAAAAUCAGAUUUCAAUUUGAUAUGCCUGAACCAAUCCAUAUAAAUACAGCUCGAGAUUCUCAUGGAAGAAAGAUGUCUGGAUUAACAAGGUUCGAAUGUAUAAUUGUCAGGAUGAUUCUCUAAAACGACCUUGCCAACACGGCUUUGUGACCCAAUGCUUAACCUCCAGAGCCCCCGGAUGUAAAAUGAAACAAAGAAAAUCUGUACAUUAUAUGUAAUAUAUACAUGCACGUAGGGACAUCAAGGAAAUUAUUCAGAUGACCUCGUACAAUGUUCGAAAGUGAUCUGACUGUGGAAAAAAACAUAUUAUCGGAUGUAAUAUCAUGAGGUCAUCGCCUGUAGAUAUUCCUUUUCCACUUGUCCGUGUGACGUCAUUGUCGGUAGAUAUUCCUUUUAGUCUUGUCCUUGUGACGUCACUGCCGGUAGAUAUUCUUUUCAACUUCCCAGUUUCUUUCACUUUUUGUUUUCUUUCAGACAUACUCCUGUUAAAUUAUCUCCAUUUUUAUCUUUUCCGUCCAGAAUUUCGAGAUUUUCUGCGUAGCCUGUCACUUUUAUGACCAUAUUACUCAUUAAUUUUUGUGUAUUUUUUGUAAUUGAUAUUUGGAAUAAAAUAUAUUUUUACACUUA